rnacentral:lncRNA from 1 species
GGGAGCGAGUCUGCAAUGAUGAUACUGAUCACAUUGAUGAAUCAAAAAAACGUACAGUGGCUUCUGCUGGUCGUGCAACCCUUCAGAGCCCUACAAAGUUGCAAGCAUCCGUGGAACCAGAAUAUGUAAACCAAAAUGUGGCAGGGACUCAGAAAGCCUCCGGCAAACCUGUGCAAAAUGGUCGUCGCCUGUCGAAAAGUGAAAGCAUUAGUGCUUCAAGGUGUGUGGGCGUCAUUCGAAAACCUCAAGGGGUAUGUCAUUCUCUAACUAUGUAUUUGACUGUCGUUCAUCAAUGUUUUUUUAGGUAUAUCAUCUUAUCUCACUUCCCUUUGCUUUCCAGAUGCACGGAGAAGUGCAGAAACUGGUCGCUUAACAUGCUUGGGAACUUGCAAACGUUUGACUAAGAAAAAUCUGCCGAUUCUUGGUUUUCUUUUGCUAUGUCCAUGAUAUUCCUUUGGAGGUUCUUAAUCUGCCUUAAUCAACUAAUAUGUGCUACUUGUAGUUACUUUAUUGUACU